GCCAACGAGGGUUUGUGACGGUGUGCUUCGUGUUUCCUGUUUCGCCCCAAAUCAAAGAUUCGUGUUUCUCGUAUAUUGUGAAUCGUGACUGCAACACUGCAACUGCCGUGUCUGCUUCUGCUACUGCUCUUGAGCUUCCUGUGGUCUUGGUGGUCGUUAGUGGUCCUUGGACCCUUUGUGGCCGGCCCUCUCUCCUCUGCCUUCCGGUCUCGUCAAGAAACACACGUCAUGGAAGAGUGGGAGUCAAGUAUGUACCAAUCUGACGAAAUGUCCGGGCUGGAGUCCGACGCGUCAUUUGUAACAACCGAGCAGAGCCAAGCGACAACACGUUGGCGAUCAGCAUUAUCGUGUGCUUUGUGGCUGCAGGAGUCAUCCUUCUGGUCCUUUAUUUGAUCAGUUCCGCCGGUGAUG